CCUACGGGCGGCUGCAGUGGGGAAUAUUGCACAAUGGGCGCAAGCCUAAUGCAGCCAUGCCGCGUGUGUGAAGAAGGCCUUCGGGUUGUAAAGCACUUUCAGCGGGGAGGAAGGCGGUGAGGUUAAUAACCUCAUCGAUUGACGUUACCCGCAGAAGAAGCACCGGCUAACUCCGUGCCAGCAGCCGCGGUAAUACGGAGGGUGCAAGCGUUAAUCGGAAUUACUGGGCGUAAAGCGCACGCAGGCGGUCUGUCAAGUCGGAUGUGAAAUCCCCGGGCUCAACCUGGGAACUGCAUUCGAAACUGGCAGGCUAGAGCCUUGUAGAGGGGGGUAGAAUUCCAGGUGUAGCGGUGAAAUGCGUAGAGAUCUGGAGGAAUACCGGUGGCGAAGGCGGCCCCCUGGACAAAGACUGACGCUCAGGUGCGAAAGCGUGGGGAGCAAACAGGAUUAGAUACCCUAGUAGUC
rnacentral:rRNA from 1 species